ACAAUCCAACCACGUUCUCUCCAUCUUUCUCCUCUGGAUUGGAUUGUGACUCAUCUCCCCUUCCAAACUAUUCCUGGUGCUGGAUUAUUCCCAUGGUAGUUGGGGUAACCAGCUCUGGUUCCUCUCUCUCCUGGACUACACACCUGUCUGCCUGCUGGCUCCUCUUUGGGCUCUGUCCCAGGCAUCUACUUGCUGGGAAAGAUCUGAGGUCUGAAGAAGCUUCCAGCUAUCCACUCAUCCACAUGCCCAACCAUCAAGCCACAUUCUUAUAUAAACAUGCCCUAACCACUCUUUCUCCAUUAUGGUCACUACCAUUUUCAACUUCCCCCUUUCAUUCUUCCAGCCAAAACAUGGCAAAAUGA
rnacentral:lncRNA from 1 species